UAUUAGAAUGAAUUCUAACAACCAUCAAGAGACAUUUGAAGAAAUGUAAUUUUUCACAGUAUAAAAUAAAUAUAUAAAUGUAUACUUCAAAAUGCAUAAGAUCAGAGAACAUAUGGCACAAAUUCUUAAGUUUGUUAGUGUCAUAAUUAUUUUUCUUUUUGAAUUCGUUGUUGUAAUGGAUGGUAUCAUUGUAACAUAUGGAGCUGUUAAAUGCUGGUCUGAUGGAGAAUGUCGUAAAGCAAUGCCGGAUUGCACUCUUCCUAAACGUCCAAGGUGUAUAUCAGGGAUAUGUGAUUGUGUGUCAUAGUAGGAAUAAAGUUCAAAAAUAAUUUCAAAAAAAAUGUGUAAAUUAGGUUAUCACAUUUAAACAAGGAGACAAAAUCUAAGAAAAUAUUUAGUUUAGGAUUAAUUUUAAUUUCCUAAUAAAUAAUAAUUGACACAAAGGUGGAAUGGGUAUCGGAUCAAAUUUGCAAAACUUAAAUAAUUAUAACUAGUAUCUGAGUGGAUAAUUGAGGGAAAAGGCAAUGAAAAAAAAAGGGAGGUGGUAGUUUAAAAAAAUAUCAUAUCUUCCUCUUUUUCACUUAAAUUCAUAAAACAAAAAAUAGAGAUUCAUCCCUCUCUCUCUGAAACACCUCCGCUAGUCUCACUAUCUUUUCGCUUCUCACAACCAAUCUCUUAUCUCUGUCUCUCUAUUCAUCGGCGGCUACCAAACAACAACCAGUGAACACCCUCCUUCCUUUAACCACACAAACUUUCACUGAAAUUCUUCCCUUCGCCAGCACUUCGACAUCACCAAGUCAACCACUACUUCCAUUUAUUAGUCCCAACGUAAAUCACCACAAAAUAGUUUGAAACACCACCAACCAACAUGAUUUCCUCCGCAACACGGGUGGUAUAUCAGUUUUUUCUUUUACGCUUUUUGAUUCAUUUCUUUUUAGAUUUUGAUUCACUUGUUUGGUUUAAAAGAAUUUCUGACUGUGGUGUUUGAAGAGUUGUAUUGGUUUCGAUUGUGAUUAUGUUGCAUCAUUUGUAAGGUUGUAAAUAUGCAUGGUAUGAUGCUACUGAUUUUGUUUCUUAUUAUGUUGAAAUUGGUUCGAAAUGUAUUAUGCACGUUCGACAUUGUAUGUUGGUUGUCGUUGGGUUGUGUGUUGGUAAGCGAUAUUAUGUUUCGCACGUUGUAUUGCGUCGUGACGAUAUUGCGUGCAUUAUUCCAACUCUCGCAUCACGUGAAUUCGUGCGUGUUAAAAAUAUGUGCGUUACAUGUUGUAUGUUUUUUAUUUGAUUGUAAUAAGCGCAUUUUGCGUUAGCAAUUUGCAGUUGAUUUUUUUGUUUACGCGCGACAUUUUGAAUCUGUUGUCAUCGCGUUUAACUCAAAUAGUUAUAUAUUAUUGGUAGUUUUGUAUGGCAUCAAUUUGCAUUUGCUUUUGCUAUUAUGUUUUUUGUCACGUGACAUUGCUUUUCGUUAUGAUACGAUACACUGCGUUAUGUUUUAUUCGCAUUUCAAUUUGACUGUAAUGAUUGCAUUUUGCGCUAGUGGCUUGCUGUUGAUUUCUGUUUACAUGCAACAUUUUAAUUCCACCGCAUUUAAAUAGGACUUAAAUUUUAUGUUUACGACUUUGUAUUUGUGCCCUCUCCAUACGUCAACUCAAUUCUAGUCCAUGUGUAUCGUGAACUCAAUUCGCGUCCUCACGUUAACUCAGUUUGCACGAAACGCCUUUGCGUACGUUAAUUCACCAUAUGCGACUAACGUGUUGUGAAUUUUUUCUAUUCAAUUGACAUAAAUGCAUGUUGGCUCUGAUUAUUUUGUAUGCGUGUUUAUUUUUCUAGCUGUUAGCUUGCAAGUUUGCAUCAACAUUGCCUUACUGUGCACUAGAGAUUUCAUCACUUCGACCCCGAUCUCUUCCAUCACAGAUUUGACCCAAAUUUCUUGACAUGCAGCAUAGGAUCUUUGUAUAUAUUCAGCCUCAUACAAUGACAAUGUCACCACAGGUUGCUUUCUCGAGCACAUGAGAUCGGGGCACCAAAGACUUGAAACCUUCAUGUGUGACAUCCUUUGUUCACUCAUGUAUCUUCUCAAUAAUCCAGCUCCAAUACCUAUAUCAACUCGACUUUUGCACACAUACCUUAGAGAUCCAAAAAUUUUUUUAAACAAAGUUACAUCAUUUUUGUCUUCCUCUGCAUGCUUCUCCAAUUUCAAAUUUAGUUUGACAGGCAAAGAUGUAGGAUUCAAAUCAUCCAUCUUGAACCUCUUGAGUAUCUCUUUGACAUAAUUCCUUUGAUGUAGAAACAUACCUUGCUUCGACAUUUGAAAUUCCAUGCCUAAAAAAUAAGACAAUUUUCCUAGAUCCAAAAUUUCAAAUUCUCUCACCAUCAUCUCUUUGAACUUCGACAAGUUCUCCAAGCUAUUUCCAGUUACCAAUAAGUUAUUUACAUACAAGCAAAUGAUUGUUAUAUCUUGUGCCACAACCUUAACAUAGACACCAUACUCAAAUUUUCAUUUUAAGAAUCCCAAUUCUAUUAAGUAUGAGUCGAUCUUCUUGUUCCAUGCCCUAGGUGCCUAUUUGAGGCCAUAGAACGCUUUGUGCAAAUUAUACACCUUACUCGUUUCAUCAUGAAUAACAAACCCAUGAGGUUGUAUGACAUAGACCUCUUCGUCUAAAUGACCAUUCAAAAAUGCUGACUUCACAUCUAAGGGAAAUGUCGACUAGCCUUGCUUGCAUGCCAAGGCGACAACCAAUCUGACAUUCUCCAAUCUAGCGACAAUGUGCAAAUACUUCAGAUUAGUCGAGUCCUGCCCUCUAAGGAAAUCCACGAAAUACAAAUCCUUCCUUAUGUCUUGCUAUCGACCCAUUAGCAUUGUGCUUCAACUUGAACACCCAUUUCAUAUUGAUAGCUCUAAAUGUAAUUUGGGUUAUUUAAAGUGUGCUCUAAAUGUUUAGUAGCUUUCAUCAUAACAUCUAUGACUAACAUCAUUGUGUUUUAUUUUUUUCAUUUUAUUUAUCCUUUCUUGCCAUGUAGGGCAUCUGAGAUAAUAUGCCAUUCUACUUUAUUUAAUGAUUGAUACAUAUUGCACAAUAAAUAUGCAAUGUUGAAUUUUCUAUUUUCCAGGAAGAAUUUCUACAGAGGCUUCAGAGUCGUAUAAAUGUUUCAUAAGAUAGUUCUAUCCCCAAACACUAGGACUCCCUAAGGGCUUUAUGGAAUGCUUCAUUUCCCGAAUAAGAGCUCGAAGGCUCAAUUUUAUAGCAGUGAAAGACAUGGGAUGGAAACAGGAAGGGUUCACCAAGAAAUUUUAGAUAG